rnacentral:tRNA from 1 species
GGCCGCGAGAUGUAUGGUGCAUGGGCUGCCUUAUAAGCAGCGGAAGUUCCAGAUCGGAGCGCAGGCUGAGUUCGAAUCUCAGGGCGGCCACCA